UACAUGGGGUGCAAACGUUGCUCGGAAUUAUUGGGCGUAAAGCGCACGUAGGCGGUUCGUUAAGUCGGAUGUGAAAGCCCUCGGCUUAACUGAGGAAGUGCAUCCGAAACUGGCAGGCUAGAGUACUAAAGAGGGUCGCGGAAUUCCCGGUGUAGAGGUGAAAUUCGUAGAUAUCGGGAGGAACACCGGUGGCGAAGGCGGCGACCUGGGUAGAUACUGACGCUGAGGUGCGAAAGCGUGGGGAGCAAACAGG
rnacentral:rRNA from 1 species